UUGUUGUUGAUGCUUAGAGAUUGGCCUUGCUUUUAGAAUCCGAGGAGAGAAAAUAUGUUUUGAUUGAAUGUGCUCUAAAAUCGGGAAAUUUGCCACCUUUUAGGGAGUUAUUAUUAACUGGCUCUACAUGUUGUCUUGAUUGUAGGGGAGCUUGGAGUUUUGGUCAUUGUCGUUACCCUGCUAUAUUGGUUUAUCAGAUUUCGUAAAGUGUGCUCUUUCCCUGCCUUUUUUUUUAUUAAUUUUUUAGAGCUGUUUUUCCAGAGGACUGAUUGGGGACAUUCUGGAUAUGAUGAUUGAUUUGCUCUGCAUCUACCUCGUUAGGAUUGAAGGAUUGAACAACUCAAGUUGUAUGUUUCAAAGGAACUAUUUAAUUUCCUUAACAUGACUUUGGUUGCUGGAAUCUGGGUCCAGAUGACUCAGAGGUUUGAUGACAACUUACGUCUCUUGUCCAAGAUCAAAGGCUUUUUGCAUUGUUAACGAAGGGAGGAUUCCCCUUCAUCCCAACCUCUUUAGUUCUGUUUGCUCUAAGAGCUGUGUAGUGGGCCCUGUUUGGAAGGAGUUCUGUUUCUCUGCCUGUAUACUUGAAGGUCGUCUCUUUAGGCAGGUGUGGAAUUUCAAGUUUUGCAACAUUGGGU